UGUUGAUACAGAAGAAGUGUCAGUGAUGGAGGGAGAUUCAGUCACUAUAUGCACUCAUGUUAAUAUAAACCAGCAAGAAAAGAUUAGAUGGUAUUUUAAUGACGAUCUCAUCGCUCACAUCAAUAGAAGUCUCAGUGACAUCUGUACAGAUGUUCAGUGUAAUAAUGGCACUGGGAGAUUCAGAGACAGACUGAAGCUGGAUCAUCAGACUGGAUCUCUGACCAUCACAAACAUCAUAGACACAGACUCUGGAAAUUAUACACUAAUCAUCGUGAAAGGCAGCGACAGUCAAAAGAUCUUCAAAGUUUCUGUUCAUGGUGUUUCUGCUGCUAAACGAGAUGAAAUGAAAAGAAAGUCAGUGAAGAAGGGAGAAUCUGUCACUUUAGAUUCUGGUGAAGCAAGGAAAUCAAAAAAUGUGACUAUGUGGUAUUUUUAUGACACUAUCAUCGCCAGAGAUCAGAGUAAAGAUCUUAACGAGAGAUUCAGAGACAGACUGAAGCUGGAUCAUCAGACUGGAUCUCUGACCAUCACAAACACCAGAACCACAGAUGCUGGAGAAUAUCAUCUACAGAUCAGCAGCUGCAGAUUCAGCAUCAUUAGGAGCUUCAGUGUUUCUGUCACUGACGGAGGAGGGUCAUGAAGAUCAAAGAAGAUCUUAACAAGAUCACUUUGUGUCUGCAACAUUAUUCCCAUUGACAUGAAUCAGCAAAAACACACUUCAGUAGUUGAGCUGUUGCAGUUUAUUAACCUGGAAUAUAUCUACAUUUAUCAUUUAACAUGCUAGUUGUAAUAAAUGCCUUUGUUUAAGAUUAUGGAUUAGUGAAGUGCUUGUGGAAGAGGUUUGUUUUCAGCUGUUUCUUGAAGGUUGAGAUGGUUUCAGCAGAUCAGAUGGAGUCAAGUGUUUCUGAAAGAGACUCAUUGUGAUGAAACACUGGGUGGUGCUUAUUCACUGUAGUUACUUCAUUAUUAUGUAUUCAGUUCAACAAUAACCUACUUUUAGCAUUCACCAAUCUUGAUAAAUUCAUAGAACAAAUGCUUUGUAAUAUUUAGGAAGAUAGAAACACUCAGUUCAGCAUUUUACACUAUAUUUGCACUGUGACAACUUAAACCUUUAAGAAAAACCUACAUGAGCUCUCAGGACAGUCAGCAUCAUUUAAAAAAUGUAUCAAAUGGACAAAUGUGAAGAGAAUUUGCACUAUACAUAUUGUACUGUAAGUUUUCACUUGAUUUGUUAUCAGUGUACUGUUUUUGCAUACUACAAUGUGCAAAGUGUAUAAUAAUUGAUACACUUUGUUUUGCUUCAAACCAAAGAUUGUAUUAUUGUGAUUCAGCGCAGAGCUGGUUUGUUUGGUUCAUUAGAACUCAAUAGAA